UCGUGCGCGNGAGAGUGUGUCCUCUCACAUAAAAUCCAUCUCACCCUUUUGUGCACCACCGCGUGGGCGCCCUUCGGGAUCAAACCGAUCCAGGAGGGGGCUUGCGUUCUCACACAAACCCCUUUUUAAAAAGUGUAGAAUGACCCCAUUUUUGCGAUAACACGCAAUCAAUACAACUUUCAACAACGGAUCUCUUGGCUCUCGCAUCGAUGAAGAACGCAGCGAAAUGCGAUACGUAAUGUGAAUUGCAGAAUUCAGUGAAUCAUCGAAUCUUUGAACGCACCUUGCGCCCCUUGGUAUUCCGAGGGGCACACCCGUUUGAGUGUCGUGAAAAUCUCAACCUCCUCGGUUUCUUCUGGACACCGAAGGAGGCUUGGACUUUGGAGGCCUUUGCUGGCGUCUCUCGCCAGCUCCUCUCAAAUGAAUUAGCGGGGUCCUCUUUGCCGAUCCUCGACGUGUGAUAAGAUGUUUCCAUGUCUUGGUUUCUGGCUCUGUUGCUUUUGGGACCCGCUUCUAACCGUCUCAACCCGAGACAAUGUUUGAGCGUGUCUCCCUUCUCGGGAAACGCCCUCAAGCCCACGAACCCUUGACCUCAAAUCGGGUGAGACUACCCGCUGAACUUAAGCAUAUCAAUAAG
rnacentral:rRNA from 1 species